AACGAACGCUGGCGGCAGGCCUAACACAUGCAAGUCUAACGCAUCGCAAGAUGAGUGGCGCACGGGUGAGUAACACGUGGGAAUGUACCCUUUGGUUCGGAAUAACGUCUGGAAACGGACGCUAAUACCGGAUGAGCCCUACGGGGGAAAGAUUUAUCGCCAAAGGAGCAGCCCGCGUCUGAUUAGCUAGUUGGUGGGGUAAAGCCCCACCAAGGCGACGAUCAGUAGCUGGUCUGAGAGGAUGAUCAGCCACCCUGGGACUGAGACACGACCCAGACACCUACGGGAGGAAGCAGUGGGGAAUAGUGGACACUGGGCGCAAGCCUGAUCCGCCAAGGCCGCGUGAGUGAUGAAGGCCUUCGGGUUGUAAAGCUCUUUCGCAGGCGACGAUGCUGACGGUAGCGUGAGAAGAAGCCGCGGCUAACUUCGUGCCAGCCGCCGCCGUAAGAC
rnacentral:rRNA from 1 species